GAUGAACGCUAGCGGCAGGCCUAAUACAUGCAAGCUGAACGGUAAAUAUUGUAGCAAUACGAUAUGAGAGUAGCGUAAGGGUGCGUAACACGUAUGCAAUCUGCCCUGUACAGGAGGAUAGCUCGGCGAAAGCCGGAUUAAUACUCCGUAAUAUUGAGUUUUGGCAUCAAGGUUCAAUUAAAGUCGCAAGAUGGUACAGGAUGAGCAUGCGUCUGAUUAGCUAGUUGGUGGUGUAACGGACCACCAAGGCGAUGAUCAGUAGGGGAACUGAGAGGUUGAUCCCCCACACUGGCACUGAGAUACGGGCCAGACUCCUACGGGAGGCAGCAGUAGGGAAUAUUGGUCAAUGGAUGCAAGUCUGAACCAGCCAUGCCGCGUGCAGGAAGAAGGCCUUCUGGGUUGUAAACUGCUUUUGCCGGGGGAUAAAAUUCCCAUGCGUGGGACAUUGAAGGUACCCGGUGAAUAAGCCACGGCUAACUACGUGCCAGCAGCCGCGGUAAUACGUAGGUGGCGAGCGUUGUCCGGAUUUAUUGGGUUUAAAGGGUGCGUAGGCGGCCUAUUAAGUCAGUUCUGAAAUAUCCCGGCUUAACCGGGAGGGUGGGAUUGAUACUGAUGGGCUUGAGUGGACUCGAGGUAGGCGGAAUUGACGGUGUAGCGGUGAAAUGCUUAGAUAUCGUCAAGAACACCGAUAGUGUAGACAGCUUACUAGAUUUCAACUGACGCUGAGGCACGAAAGUGUGGGGAUCAAACAGGAUUAGAUACCCUGGUAGUCCACACUGUAAACGUUGAUUACUCGCUGUGUGCGAUAUACAGUACGCGGCUUAGCGAAAGCGAUAAGUAAUCCACCUGGGGAGUACGCCGGCAACGGUGA
rnacentral:rRNA from 1 species